rnacentral:miRNA from 1 species
GACAUCGAUGUUCGACGUCAUAAACACCAUCAAGUUUGAUGUUUAUGUCGUCGAGAUACGACGUCGUAAACACCAUCAAGUUUGGUGUUGAUGACAUCGAUAUACGACGUCGUAAACACCAUCAAGUUUGGUGUUUAUGAUGUCGAUAUACGACUUCAUAAACACCAUCAAAUUUGAUGGGGUUUAUGACGUCCAAUAUCGACGUCAUAUACACCAAACUUGAUCGUGUUUAUGACGUCGAUAUUCGAUGUC